rnacentral:rRNA from 1 species
AUUGAACGCUGGCGGCAGGCCUAACACAUGCAAGUCGAACGGUAACACGAAGAAGCUUGCCUCUUUCCUGUCGCGUGUCGCACGGGGGUGUAAUGUCCGUCAAACUGCCCUUUUUCGUGGGGUAACUCCUGGAAACGCUUGCUCUUACCGCAUAUCGUCCCAACCGCUAAAAGGAGGACCUUUUCGCCUCUUGCCCUCUGUUGUGCCCCGAUGGGAUUAGCUAGUAGGUGGGGUAACGGCUCACCCAGGCGACGAUCCCUAGCUGGUCUGAGAGGAUGAUCAGCCACACUGGAACUGAGACACGGUCCAGACUCCUACGGGAGGCAGCAGUGGGGAAUAUUGGACAAUGGGCGCAAGCCUGAUGCAGCCAUGCCGCGUGGGUGAAGAAGGCCUUCGGGUUGUAAAGUACUUUUGGUGGGGAAGAAAAGAGGAAAGUUAAUACCUUGGCGCAUUGACGGUACCCAAAGAAGAAGCACCGGCUAACUUCGUG